rnacentral:rRNA from 1 species
UACGUAGGGGGCAAGCGUUGUCCGGAUUCAUUGGGCGUAAAGAGCGUGUAGGCGGCCAGGUAGGUCGGUUGUGAAAACUGGAGGCUCAACCUUCAGAGGUCGACCGAAACCAUCUGGCUAGAGUUCGGGAGAGGAGAGUGGAAUUCCUGGUGUAGCGGUGAAAUGCGCAGAUAUCAGGAAGAACACCCGUGGCGAAAGCGGCUCUCUGGAACGGUACUGACGCUGAGACGCGAAAGCGUGGGGAGCAAACAGG